UAGUCUACGCCGUAAACGAUGGUCACUAGCUGUUCGGAACUUGUUUCUGAGUGGCUAAGCGAAAGUGAUAAGUGACCCACCUGGGGAGUACGUUCGCAAGAAUGAAACUCAAAGGAAUUGACGGGGGCCCGCACAAGCGGUGGAGCAUGUGGUUUAAUUCGAUGAUACGCGAGGAACCUUACCAGGGCUUAAAUGUAGAUUGACAGGUUUAGAGAUAGACUUUCCUUCGGGCAAUUUACAAGGUGCUGCAUGGUUGUCGUCAGCUCGUGCCGUGAGGUGUCAGGUUAAGUCCUAUAACGAGCGCAACCCCUGUUGUUAGUUGCCAGCGAGUCAAGUCGGGAACUCUAACAAGACUGCCAGUGCAAACUGUGAGGAAGGUGGGGAUGACGUCAAGUCCUCAUGGCCCUUAUGUCCAGGGGCUACACACGUGCUACAAUGGGUAAAUACAGAGGGGCAGCGAACCAGCGAUGGGUAAGCGAAUCCCUAAAGUUUA
rnacentral:rRNA from 1 species